rnacentral:rRNA from 1 species
UACGGAAGGCAGCAGUGGGGAAUAUUGCACAAUGGGCGAAAGCCUGAUGCAGCUAUGCCGCGUGUAUGAAGAAGGCCUUAGGGUUGUAAAGUACUUUCAUCGGGGAGGAAAAAACAAAACUAAUAAUUUUAUUCUUGACGUUACCCGAAAAAGAAGCACCGGCUAACUCCGUGCCAGCAGCCGCGGUAAUACGGAGGGUGCGAGCGUUAAUCGGAAUUACUGGGCGUAAAGGGCACGCAGGCGGUUAAUUAAGUUGGAUGUGAAAUCCCCGGGCUUAACCUGGGAAUGGCAUUCAAGACUGGUUAGCUAGAGUCUUGUAGAGGGGGUAGAAUUCCAUGUGUAGCGGUGAAAUGCGUAGAGAUGUGGAGGAAUACCGGUGGCGAAGGCGGCCCCUGGACAAAGACUGACGCUCAUGUGCGAAAGCGUGGGGAGCAAACAGGGAUUAGAUACC